rnacentral:lncRNA from 1 species
CUGAUAGUCGUUGAUGCGUGCAGCCAACUCCUGAGCUCGCUGCUCAACCUACUGUCGAUCUACAGUAGCCUGCUAUAGAUCUUCGGUAGCCUGCUAUCGAUCUUCGAUAGCCUAUCUCUGUACCUCCAUCAGUCGAGCCUCGCAUGCAGAAUCGAUGUCAGCCCUAGAUGAGCAUGAGGAUGAGGGAGCAGUGAUCCCAUACCCU